CAUUUUCCUUUGGAAGAAAUACUAGGUUGGUGAUCGAUCGCAUGUGAGGAGGGAUCGAUUGCUAUUUCGAGCAGAAUGUAGAGAUUGAAAGGAGAUCGAUCUGUUUGGGAGCGAUCACCCAGUUGACGUAACUUGUAGUUCUGCUUUUUCCUUCCUUCGUCGUCACUUUUCUUCUCUCUCUCUCUCUCUCUUUCUCUCUCUCUCUCUCCUAUCUGAAAUAUCUUCUCUCUACAUUUCUUACAUUCAACAUACAAAACCCUUGAUCUCCCCCACCUAGAGUGUAAGAUGAUCAAAAAUCAAAGUAUUAAAGUUGUAGAGCACGUCGUGGGCUUUGAUCUUACCGAGCCCAAUCCUAGUUAGAGCAUUUUGGGUUUUCAAGCUUUCUUCCUUCGGUUCUUCUAAUUUGAUGUAUUGACGAUGUGCCUCCGCCAAUAUGAUGACCUAGGGAUUGUUGAGCAUGAAGCUCACUUAUUUGUUAUUUUGUGGUUUGUAUGACCUAGGGCCUUAUUUAUGUAUCAGGUUGAGACCUUUUUUUGUUGUAGAUAGGGCGAUGCCCUUUCCUUUUCAUGUAAGCCUACAAGACAUUUUAUUUGAAUACAGAAACAAGAGAUCUAUGUAGUGUUUCACA